UCAUUAACAUAGAUUUACACUUUAUUUUAAAUUUGCAUCCUGAGAUAAUAAAAUUUUAUCUGACAAGUGAACAAUGACAGAAGCAGCAGUGAAAGUUUCGGAGAGGCAGGUAUCCUUCAUUUUGGCACAGCUGUAUAUAGAUUGAGUUUUUCCAGGGAAGUCAUUCCUGGACUCAAGGGAGAAAAAAUGAAUUCAUUCCACAGGCUAUGUAACAAUGCAAGAUGCAUGAAAGUUCUUAGUUUGGAUGAACAUAUCCGCUAUUAUUCUUUUCUGGUAAAGCUGUCCCAACAGGAAUCCUCUGACAAAAAGUUGAAAUCCUAGGCUUCUCCACCAGAUAUUUUUAUCAAUGCCCACUCUCUAGUUACCUGGAUAUCCUGUUCUUGCAGCCAGAUUCAUAUUUGUAUGUGGUUAGUCCAAGGAGGGCAAAUUCUAACCUGAAGUUAUAUAGCCUAAUAUAGCCAAAACACACAAACACACACAUUUCAUUAUUUAGAGACUAGGUAAGCAAUCUGUGGAGGGGGUCAAAUAAUCUUAGUUCCUUUAUAAAAGUGGUUCCCAACAUUUUCACCAUAAGAAUCCCUUCAUUAUUCUUUUCCCAUGUUCCCAAGUAUUUAAUAAGUUGCACAUAAUAGGAUUUCUUAUUUUAUUAUUAAUCAAAAACAUACUGCCAUUCACAGCUUUUGAGAGAAUAUAGGCAAAAUGAAUGGAAAUUCAAUGUCUUAAUUGACUUGUGAAGCAGGAAUAUUAUGGGUAAAUGUAUAAUUUCUAAUAUACUUUUUGAAAUAUUACAAAAAGCUCAAGGAUACCCUCCACUGCUAUCAUCUGCUGAAGUUGGGAAUCACUGAUUUACAUCCACCUGCUUUUCCUCCCUAAGUAUGUAUUAACAUAAUACAAUUACCCACGUUUAACACAUAGGAGAUUAAUAACAAAAUUUACUAUUAAAACAAUAGACCAAGUGCAAUAGUCAUUCUGUAGGACCUGACUGAAAAAGAAAACAUAGCAUGGAUUUAAAGAAAUCUAUUUAGAAAUUAUAUAAUUAUGAUAUCCAGUAUAUCUUUCAGUCAACUUCAAAGCACACUAAUAUAUGAAAAUAUCCUCAAUUCCCCUGUGAGGUAGGUCCAGAUUAUUGUCCCCACUUCGACAAUGAGGACGUGAGGUACAGAGGAAUUAAGCAGCAGAGCCAAUAAUUAAACCAGAAGUGACUUGUAUUUGAGUCCCAUACCACUUUCCUUUCCACCUAAUUUUAUCAAUUUGUUCCAACAGAUCUUUUUGAGGGUAUGGAAUUUGAUUAGACACUAAAGUAAAUGUUGGAUAGGAUAUGAAAUCUUUACAUAAAUGCCAAAGUGGGUCCUCCAAUAUUUCCAUUGUUGUUACAGCUAAAAUUCUUGCCUGAAUACCAACUGCAUAGACAGAUUCUACACAGGCAAAGGACACAGACCUCAGUGCUCAGUUCCUAGGAAAACUACAUUUACUCUUAGCAUCACCAAGGAACUAAGGUCUAGCAAGCAUCAGGUUCUUGGAGUCUGUGUGAUAAUUAACACGUCAGCCAGUCGGCAAAUCAAACUUUUACUGCAUGCAAGGCACUGUGAGAGUUUCCACCAAGGACAGUAGAUCUGAGAAUAAUCAUUCUGAGAUUCUAUAGAGUAAAAAUGUCCUAAGAAUUCCUUGAAUCACAGAAUGUUAAGUGAUCUCUAAUUUUUUGUCCAGCUCUAGGUUCCACCUCAUCAUUUUACAGAAGAGACAGACAUGCAAUUAAGAUGACCUGCCUGGAGCCCACAAUAUUAGAUCAUUUCCUCAUAUAGUAUGAAUUUGACAAAGUUCACAGAAAAUGGAACAUACUCACAGGGUGCCAUCAAAACAAAAAGGCUGGCUCAGAAUCAGGUAAGAAAAAUUUGGGGCAAGAUAAGAUCAUUCAUUUUUACAUACAGAUAUAUAUCAAUUGUUUUAGUCCACAUACUACAUGAACAGGUAUUAAUAAAACCUAUUCAUUUUUAUGGAAAAUUUCCCAAUUGUUUGCUAUUUAAAGGAACCCAAAUAAUUUGACAGUUGUUGCAAAAUAUUUUUAAAGUAUACUUUUAUAGGCAUGAGAAUCUAAUUUCAAUAAAUUUGAGCACUUAUAAUCAAAUUAGCAAAAAGUAUUUCUACUAUGUGAAACUGCUCCAGUUAAUCAGGUGAAUAUAAUUUCUAUAUCCUCCUAGGUCAAUAUAGUACAUUUUAAUACAAUAUUGUUUGGGAGCUUUAUGUUCAAGUAGUGAGGUUUUAUUUUUUUAAAUGGCAGCUUAUUUGUAAACAAAAUAAAAGUGCUAAUGAUCUUUUAAAGCUUUCAUACAUUUGUUCAAAGGCUUACACGUUUUUAAACUUUAUUCAAAUUUCAUCAAAAAUGGUAGAUAAAACAGUUUGAUUGCUCAGAUAUUA
rnacentral:lncRNA from 1 species